ensembl:lncRNA
GGGCAGGGGCAGGGGGUGGGGCAGGGGCAGGGGAUGCUUUGGCCUCUGGCGUCUUGGUAGAUUCUUUCCCAGGUUGCUGAGGGGCCUUGCUGACAGCUGGCACCUUCACCACACCCUCUGUGGCCCUGGGCUGCUCGCUGACUGCCACAUGUGGGUGCACCAUGAUCCGAACAUCCCGGGCACGGUGUAUGGGUGCAGUCGGUACUCAGACUGCAUGACCAGCACCUCGGACUGCACGGGGGCUGCGGCUCGAGCCACUGGGAGAUGGUAGUGCACUUCUUCCUCAGGGGGGUGCUGGGAGGCCAGAGUGGACACUCCAGCCGUGGCCGGCUGUGGGGUGCCUGCGCGCUGCGGGGCCCGUACUUCUAUCUGCUGGGGCUGCAGGGGGAGCCCGAGGAGAGUGAAGGGUUUCUGGCCGGAUACUGUAAGUGAUGCUGGGCAGUGUAGGUGUGUUCAUUCUCACCUCGCCCUGGGACAAAUGGCCAAGGGAUACAGUCUGGGUGAUGCUGUGGGGUGGCAUGAUGACAGACUGCUCUGGGUGGAUGCUAGAGAUGAACUGAGGCACUGGAAUGCCUGCAGCCAGCAUGACUGUGGCAUUGGUAGAGAGCGCUGUGGAUGUGGUGCUGCUGGGGUGGCAUGCCCUGGGGAACGGGGUGGUGCAGGCCCGCUGGAUCGAGGAGAAUGCGUGUCUGGUUUGGUGGCUGCCGAGUGGGAGACCAUUCUGUCCGUUGGAGUGCUGGGCCCUGAGGUGGCGUGGUUCACUUCUGCAGGCAGUUUGGUGGGCAGAGGAGGAGGAUGGUGGGGUGUGAGUGUAGACCCAAGGUUGGCUGGCUGAAGGACCUUGGUCUCUAUUUUGAGGGUGACGGGGUCAGCAAGCUUUUUAUUAGUGGUAACAAUGCUUGGGGUGAGGACCAGCUGGUUGUGGACCAGUACUGGGGGUGUGUUUAUGCCCUGGGUGAGAACCUUCACUGUGCCACCCUGGGUGACGGGGGUGGACACAGAGAGGUGGAUGGGCUCAGGCUUCUCCAAGGAUGGGCGGUCGGCCUUGACAGAGGAGAUCACAGGGGAUGCAUUGUAAGUCUGAGCAGUCAGCACCAGGGUGGAAUGGGUGGCCACAUUUGUGAACCCUGGGGGAGCUUGAGGGCCUUUGGGUGCAGGCUGUGAUAGUGUGACAGAAUCAGGUUUCACCUGGGACUUGGACACCGACUGCUGAAAUUCAAUGUCCAUUGCACUGGCUGGGGGAAUCUGGCUAAUCUUGGCACUGAUCCGCUGUGGACCUUCAGUCUUCUGCCCUGAGUAGCUCAGGAGCACAACCCCCCUCUGAAGUAUUCACACGCAGCCCUGCACCGGAGCCUGUGUCUGCAGGACGGUCAUCAAUCACAGACAUGGACCCAGGGUGGAAGCGACUGUUUUCGUUACUGCUCGAUCUCUGCUUGCACUUUGCUGAUGGUGCAAUCACUGCACUUGUCAUAGGUGCUGCGCCUGCUGUGGCAGUCACACCACCAGAUGCAGCAGUCACUGCACCUGCAGUGGCACUCACUGCACUAGCAGCAGCGUUCACCGUGCCGGUGGCAGCAUUCAUUGUACCCACUGUGGCAUUCACUGGAGUGGUGAGGACGUUUACUGGCCCAGUGAGAACAUUCACAGGCCCCUUCAGGACAUUCACAGGCCCCGCAGGGGUGCUCACUAACCCUUUCAGUGUGGCCACUGACCCCUUCACGGGUCCUUUCAGGGCAUUCACCGGAACCAGGGAAACAUUCACCAGGCCAGUCAGAGUCUGAGGAGCUGGUUUUGCCAGGGUUAUCUUCUGUGAAUUCUCCAAAUCAAUGCUGACAGGCAUCCGGCUGAUAACAGAUGUAAUUUUAGGAGCAAUGACUGGAGCCACCUUUUCUUUGUCAGUGGCUACAGGAACCUCUGAGGCUUGCAUGUCAGAGGCAUUUGUUAUUGGAGCUGCUGGUUUUUCCUCUACAGGAGGCUUUUUAGAUUCAACUGGAGCAGCUGCUGCCUCAUGGAGGCAAGGGGCAGCACUUACAGGCUCUGCGAUGGCUGUGGUGACACUUGUCGAUGUGAUACCUGUAGCAGAUACAUAUUUGGGGUCCAUGAGGAUCUUCCUCAGCGUACUGGAGCUGGUGUCCACAUCAGAGGCCUUGGUAUCUGGGGGAAGAGCUGGAGACGGAGUGGACUGAGCCCGAGGCUCUUCCUGUCUGGUGAUCCACUCUGUCACCUUAGGAGGGGGCUCUGCUGUGGGACUGCCCCAGGACCCAGGGCGGGUAGAAGCUUUGCAGCAGUUAUAGAAGGAACUGUGGGUGGGGGUUGCCUGAGUCACUGGGUGGGGUCACUGGGUCACUUUCAAUGAUGGUGUGCACCUUGAACCUGGCCUGAGCUUCAUCAUCCAGCAGUGCUGGCUGGGAAGGAGGGGGGAGGUCUGGAAGCACAGAUGCUUUGGUUGGAGUCUUUUCUUCAACGCUGAUUUCUUGGGACACACUCUCUGCAGACAGACUCUUGCUUGGCUCAGGGGUGCAUGCCUGAGGAGGAGCACAACGGGGCUUUUCACUCUGCUUGUCUUCCUGUGGAGGUUCUGAGGGGUGUGCUGCCACCCCCUUAUUCAUAGCAGGGCUCUUGCUUUCAGCCUCAACAGUCUUGGAGGCAUGGGUCUCUGUGGCAGCACCUGCCACCUUCUUAUUUGUAUUCCUUUUGCGGCGUGACCGAGCUGCCUUCUGGCGCCCUUUGUCUUUACGAGCAAGAGGUACUUCCACUUCCUUUGACCCUUUGGUUUCCUGUGCCAACUGAGAGGUUUCACUGCCAUUCCCUCUGGCUUCCCUGGCAUUUGCUGGGAUUCCUGAGGUGUCAGAGGUGCUGUCUUGUGGCCCAGAAGUCUCUGCAGCAGCCUCUGUCUCCAAGAUGCCAGAUACAGCCUCAUGAGUUUCAGGCUCCAUUUCUCCCCCUUGGGGCUGCACCCCUUUGCGUCUGUGGACGGCAAACUUGUCUGAGAUUCCGCAGGGAAACGAGGAGGGGCAGGGAAAUUUUCCGGCUCCCCAGAAAUGUCAUUGAUAAUGGAUCCGAUGGCAGCAGCCAGUUCUGUUUCACUUGCCUGAUGUGGGGGCUUGUCUUUGUCCUCUGUGGUGGGGCCCUUGGUUGCACUAGAAGCUGCUGCUUUAUAGGCUGCAUGGGCAGAGGUCUCAGUAAGCUUUUCAAUGUUCUCCACAGCUUGCUCCAGCUCCAUCUGCUGGGCUAGCUGAGUGGCUUCUGGGGGAUACCCUAGAGGCAGACAUGUCUUCCUCCUCUGGUUCCUUGUUGGGGGCCGCUGGAUCAUUUUUCAGCUGGGAUGAGGAACUACCUUCCUUCUGGGGACUCUCGCUUUUCUCAGGUGAGACUGCUACGACCCCAGCUUCUGGUUCCUCUGCCUGUGCCACAGGCCCUGCAGCCUCCCCAUGGCCAGCUGCUGUGUCUGUACUUUUCAGAUGUGCAGAUCUGUCCACUGCUGACCUUGAGUUUCGAGAUCUUCCUCGCUUUGAUUUAGAGUUUUUUUCAGGGGCUGGCUUUUUCUCUACCACCUCAACUGGAGGAGUGUCGGGUGCAUUUUUGUCUGUGCUGGCUUCUUUUUUGUCGUUUCUGUUCACUUUCUGUUCACUUCCUGCUUCUUCUUUAUCAGGUUUGGACUUGGUGUUUUCUUUCAUGUUCACUUGGAGACUCACAUCAGUGGGAGCCUCAGCACGUUCAGCAUCAACUUUUGGUUCAUUUUUCCCCCUUUUCCCUUGGGGGCCACCAGUGACUGCUGAUUUUUGAGACCUCGGGGACCUCCAUCCCUCAGCUGGCUUGAGCGUUUCUGUUGGUUCUUUGACCUCAUUCUCCUCCUCCUCCUCAGCGACGGCCAGUGUUUUCGGAGGCCUUCCCCUCCGUGGAGUAGUGGGAACCACUGCCACCUCCUGAAGCUCUCGCUCCAGUCUCUUUCUGGUCACUCGUGGCUGCUCUACAGGCUCUUUGGCUGGAGAGCGGUUUUCAUGGUCACUCAUGGUUGCGUAAACACUCCUCACGUUCCGGCGCCUUGUUCGGCUGAGAGGCAAACUUGGCUCAGGGUGCUCAGGGUCCCCCAUAGAGUUUUUAGAAGCAGUCCUUGUAAUCUUCUCUGCUUCCAUCUUCAAUUCUAAAAGCUUCUGUGCUUCUCCCCGAGGGGAACUGGCCCUCUUUAGUUUUUCCCGGUCUAUCCUCUCACUCUUCCUAGUGACAGGCUUCUCCACAAUACUUGCUGCAGCUGCCUGAACAGGGGUCUUGGAACGCUUACUUUUGUUUGGUUUCUUAUCUUUUGCAGCAACUGGAGGAUCAACGUCUACAUUUUCAGAAGCUUGAGGCUGAACCUCAGGAACAAUUUCAGCUUUUGGGUUUGGAUUAGGCUCAACCUUUGCAGUUGUAUCUGGCUUUUCUACUUUUGGAUCAUCAGAUUCCUCAGGCUUCUGAGUUGGUUUUGAAGGUGGCUGGGUACUGUCAGGGUCUGGAUCUACCCUACUCUCUACCGGGGAAAAUGAGGCCCCCGGAGUUGGAGGCUUGGCGUCUAGGUAAGGCAGCUGGUCAGUGGACGAGCUUUCAGCCAUGGAAGGCAUCACAGCAGCAUCUUUACUGGUGUCUGCUCCUGGGGACAAGUCUACCUGUUCUGGUUGUUCAACAGAGACAGGAGCCAGUUCUGAUACUGGUUUUGCUUCUUCUGAGACAGAGGCUGCCUCCACAGUCUUCUCUUCUGUUACCAAAGGUGUCUCUACUGUUUUUUCACUGGUUGUCUUUUCUGGUGCUGGUGACACUGUCCCUGGAGUCAUAGCUGUGACACUGGGAGGCCUGACUGAAGAUGGAGUUCUCAGUUCUGACUCUUUAUUCUCAGAAGCAGAUUCUGGGGUCUUGGGAUGAUUCUCUGUAUCUUCCUGCUUCUCAAUCUCUUUGGGUUUUUGGUCUUUUUCUUUUUCUUUCUGUUGCAUUCGGGUGAGCUCCAUAAAUCUGCUAUGGAAUAGGACCACUGGCUCUUGAAUGGACUCACUUGUGCUGUUAACUCCAUCUGAUGUCUGCCUCCCGUAUAAUCGACCAGUUAUGAAGUCAGAUUCUUCAUCUUUCCUCUCCAGAUGCUGGAGUCGCUUGGAAUCUUGUUCAAAGAUCGAGCUGUGUAAAAAACGGGAGGCAAAUAGUUCUUGCCUUUCCUGCUCUUCUUCUUUAUGAUUGUCUUUUUUAUCAUCCAUUUUUCCUUCUGAAUCAGUCCUGAUUUUCUUUUUUUUCAUGUACCAGGAUGGAAUAGGUCUUGGAGCAGAGUCAACCUUUUCUUUAUCUUUGUUGUUUCGAAAAUUAGCAAACCGGGAGUCCCAGUCAAGAAAAGACCAAUUUUCUUCUCGGGAUGAAGAAAGGGAUUUAGCUCUUUCAAGCAGAGCUUUAGUGUCUGGUGUGAUUGUCUUAUCCAGUGCAAAAGAAUAAAAUUUGUUCCUUUCUAAAGAAGUAGAGAGUCUUUCAUCUCGCUCACGUAGUUUGUCUUCUCUGUCCCUCAAUAAAAAAGACAACCGAGAGCUUUCAUAUAAUGCAGAAGCUCUGGGUGAGUGGGAUUUGUGCUCACUAUCUUCAUCAGAAUCCGAAGGCACCUCGCCAGGUUCCAAAUCCCGUACAGACCUUUUUCGCAGACUGUCUCUCUUAAUUAUGCUGUUUGGGAAACUGACAUCAAAUCUGCUGGCAUCCUGUUUCAUUUGAGAGUCCCAGCGAUUUAGUUCAUCUUCAGAAUUCAAGACAGAUAGCUUUAUUUUGGCCAUGUCUGCCAUCUGUUCUCUCCUGCUAGAAUCAUAAGGGUUAAAUUUUAAGGACUCUUCCCUCACUGUUAUACUAGAAUAGGGGAGAUUUUUUUCAUCUACUUUAGGAGAACCUUUCACUGACAUUAGCCUUGGGGAGCUUAGAGGAUCAUCAUCUUCAUGGAAGGAACCAUGGCGAAUACUGGGAGAACAGCUAGUCCUUUCAGAAUCUUCACUGAUUUGGCGUGAACUUCUAUAAUUCCUCUCUCUCUUGGUGCAGAUAUCAAAGUCAACAUGAUCCAUCCUUUUCUUUUUGCUGGGAGGCGAGUCAUCAGUGACAUCUUGUGGAGGUUUGCCUACCUCGUGAACAAGGCUACGUCUUUCAUAUUCAUCUACAUCUUUUUUAGGACUGCCAAACUUCUCAGACUUGGCUAUUUCCAUCUCCAUCUGCUGUUUUCUACGACUCUGCUCCAUUUGUUUUCGGUAACUCUGUGUGUGAUCAAUGUCAAUGCCAAUUUUCUCUUCAGUAUUUACUGCAUGAGGUUUCUCUUGGCCUGGUUUACGAUCAAGUGUUUCAUCACGAAGACUACAGUAGUUUUUCCUGACAUCAUCUCUCUCUGGACCUUGAUCAUCUAAGAGCUGCAGCUGUUUGAGCUGUGGUUUUGAAGGGAUAGGUUUUUUCGACUGGAUUUCUUGAUUUUCUGCAGAUUCAACUCCUGGCUCUCCCAAUCGUGCUUGUAGCUCUGAGCUGGGCCUCAAGCCAGACCCAGCAGAAAUACUGACAAGCUCCUGACAGUCUUUGGGACUGGGAACAGUAUUAAGUUUGUCCACUUUGAUUUUUUUAGAUUCUCUUUUAAGAAUUUCUUUUCUCACAGGCUUUCUUUCAGACUCUCCUUCCCUUAGUAGAACAACAUCUCGAGAUGAAACAUCAGGCAUCUUUUUCAAAAGCACCCGAGUAUCUUCCAUCUCGGGACUACUUUUCUUGAUUUCUGGUUUUUGCCUUUCUACUUUUAAAUUAGAAUCUGCAAAUCGUCUUUUCCUGGCUUCCAGCUUCUCCAGAUCCACAGCACUCAACCCAUCAGCACUCUGCUCUGGCUUGAGGUGCUUCCUGGGUUUAGGCCUGACUUCCUUAUCAACUACUUCAGUGUGGCUUGCAAGCAGCUUUUCCUUCGGCACUUUCAUUCGAACAGAUUCCAAUUUAGACAGGUCCAAUUUUGCAGGCUCAGCCUGAGAGACCUGAAGUUUCUGAUCCAGGGCAGAAGACUUACUGGUAUCAUUAUCAAGUCUGGCUUUCAGCUUCUCCAGUGGAGUAUGGUCAAUGACCUUUCCCUCUUUUUCUUUUACUCGAGUCAAAACUACACAAGGCAUGAGUUCCAAGCGGUUUUUUGCUAUUCCUUCUUUGUCGGCUUUCUCUCUGCUCAGUUUAUUACAACUCCUGGAUUUUUCAGGGCUCUGUUCUUGCUCAUUUUCUUGGUCUGUCUCUGAAGACUGAGAACUAGGGGAAUGAACUUUUCCUUUUUCGCUUCUGCUUGUCAGUUUUGUCCUUUUCCACUUUUUCCUUCCGUAUUAAGCGCCUCUCUCUCUCCAUUCUCUCAAGAUCAAAAGCUCGUUCUUUAUCAGCCUUUUCAUUUUUUGCAUAGCGCUCCAAACGAGCCUUGUCCAGUUUCUCGUACCGUGGAGGGGAGAGUGAGCUACAGCUGCCACUUCGGUCUGAGGAGCGGCUGUACAGCCUCCUCUCGGAGUCACUGGCCAGUCUAUCAGCCUGUGAAGGUGAUGCACCAGGACUUUGUGCGCGGCGCAAGUGUGUGGGACUCUGACUCCGCUCAAUGGGCCGCCUCUCAUGGUCUCUGUCUCGGUCAGACUCAAAUCUUUCACGUUCUCUCUCUCGUUCCCUCUGUCUGUAACUGUAUUCCCGAAUAUCUUGUUCAUAAGGAUCACUCCUGUAAUCUCUGUAUUCCCGAGGGUCAUCAUAAUAGCGUGACUCAUAGUAGUCUCCUUGGUAUGUUUCCCAUUCUGAGUAGAAUUCUCUCCCCGAGCAGGAUAGUCCCUCCUGGAGUCCUCGGGAUAUGUGCCUGGUGUGCGAACGCUCUCAUAAUAUGGUCGGUCUUGGUUAUAGUCAUAGGAUCCCCUUCGCUCCUCUCUGCCAAAAACAAAAAAAGACAAUCUUAAUGCUGUUAUCUCAUCACUUACAUAGCAAAUUAUAGCCUGAUUCUAAAAAUCCUUAACAUUAUUUCAUCACUUGUUAAACUGUAGUGGCUUUCUAACAC